UACGUAGGGUGCAAGCGUUAAUCGGAAUUACUGGGCGUAAAGCGUGCGCAGGCGGUUCUGUAAGACAGAUGUGAAAUGCCCGGGCUUAACCUGGGAACUGCAUUUGUGACUGCAUGGCUAGAGUGUGUCAGAGGGGGGUAGAAUUCCACGUGUAGCAGUGAAAUGCGUAGAUAUGUGGAGGAAUACCGAUGGCGAAGGCAGCCCCCUGGGAUAACACUGACGCUCAUGCACGAAAGCGUGGGGAGCAAACAGG
rnacentral:rRNA from 1 species